UAAUUUGAGCAUCACCCAGUUGUGCAAUUGUAGUUAUCACAGAAGUGCACAUUGCAAUGUUGUUGAACAACAGAAAUACCUUGACAUCAUCUCACUGACCCAUGCAGCCAUGCCUAAACUUGGACCAGAACUCAUGUAACCACCGGGUAAUGUCAAACCUGAACUCUGAACUCUCAGAGAUGUAUAGAUGCACAUUUAACCCACCUGAGGAAGAACUUAUUAACUAUUACUGGAAUAACAAGAUCACCAGAGAAUGAUGAUCCAAAUAAAGGCAACGAAUUUGAAGUUCUACUACAUUUUCUUCCAUUUUCUCCAUUAUUUUGCAAAUACAUAAACACAUAAAACGAAUUUAUUUCCAUUUUUCCCAGAAAUAUAUAAGAACAAGCUAAAACACAGGGAUACAUGAAUCCUCUCAGAAAUCAGAGCAUCGACCACGUUGUUCCCAAUCGCCGUACCGAGUCGGUUCAGGACCUCUAGGCCCUCCAAUCUCACCAGUAUCUUCGUUCACAAACUCUCCACCUCCACCACCUUCUCCUUCCUCUUCUUCUUCCUUCUGCAUCUGCAGAUUCUGUUGAAGAUUCUGAUCUGGCUUCACGUCCCGGUUCAGAUCCUGAUUCGGAGAUGGAGCUUGCGGCGGAGGAGGUGUACCGGAGCUUAGAAACCGUGACACUGGCUCGAGGAAUCUAGAGGAGACGGAUCGGCUUGGAGCGAUCAAACGUACGAUGUUGUUCGUCGCCAUUGUUAGAUCAGAUGUGUCGGCCAAAUCAAGAAAGAGAUCCGACCUUCACGGUUUGUGAUAGUAUAGGGUUCGAUAGUCAUUUAGGUUGGGCCAUAAUUGGAUAAUAAGCCCAGUAGUAUCUAGGCCCAAUCAUUUACAUGUUUAUAAAUAAAUUAAGAGAAUUAGAGAGUAAAUUUG
rnacentral:lncRNA from 1 species